GACGAACGCUGGCGGCGUGCUUAACACAUGCAAGUCGAACGGUGAAGCGCCUUCCUUUUUGGUGGGUGUGGAUGAGUGGCGAACGGGUGAGUAACACGUGAGUAACCUGCCCCCUUCUUCUGGAUAACCGCAUGAAAGUGUGGCUAAUACGGGAUAUUCUGGGUCUGUCGCAUGAUGGGUCUGGGAAAGAUAUUGUUUCGGUGGGGGAUGGGCUCGCGGCCUAUCAGCUUGUUGGUGGGGUGAUGGCCUACCAAGGCGGUGACGGGUAGCCGGCCUGAGAGGGUGGACGGUCACACUGGGACUGAGACACGGCCCAGACUCCUACGGGAGGAAGCAGUGGGGAAUAUUGCACAAUGGGCGCAAGCCUGAUGCAGCGACGCCGCGUGAGGGAUGGAGGCCUUCGGGUUGUGAACCUCUUUCGCCAGUGAAGCAGGCCUGCCUCGUUUGUGGGUGGGUUGACGGUAGCUGGAUAAGAAGCGCAGGCUAACUACGUG
rnacentral:rRNA from 1 species